UCCGGUUUGUCACCGGCAGUCUCCCAUGAGUGCCCAACUUAAUGGUGGCAACUAAGGACAAGGGUUGCGCUCGUUGCGGGACUUAACCCAACAUCUUACGACACGAGCUGACGACAGCCAUGCAGCACCUAUCUCCCUGUCCCCGAAGGGAACCCCACAUCUCUGUGGGUGUCAGGGGAUGUUAAGCCCAGGUAAGGUUCUGCGCGUUGCUUCGAAUUAAACCACAUACUCCACCGCUUGUGCGGGCCCCCGUCAAUUCCUUUGAGUUUUAGCCUUGCGGCCGUACUCCCCAGGCGGGGCACUUAAUGCGUUAGCGUCGGCACGGGAGGAGUCGACACCUCCCACACCUAGUGCCCGUCGUUUACGGCGUGGACUAC
rnacentral:misc_RNA from 1 species